CUCCUCAGGAAUGUAGAGGCGCCCUUAUUGCUCUCCCUUCUACUCUGACCAACCGCCAGUGAUGGUAGGGUAUGGGCCUGAUGCUCCAGCAGCAGCUAUUUUCAGGGCUACCAAGCAGAAUACCAGGCUUUCUCCGUGACACUUUUAUUGGUUUCAAGUCUUCAGAGUUCAGGCAGGGCUCUUUAAAACAUGAUACUUCAGUCAAAGUUUCUA